rnacentral:ncRNA from 2 species
CCUAUUGGAUAAAAAAUUGUCCCUAUGAGUGGCGACAUUCAUAGAAAACUCCUUUAAUUCAGUGGAACUCUCAAAAGAGACAAUACUGAGCGAAGCCUUUAAUUUAGGAACGUGCAACGACUAGCUGAAAAGCGUAGGGUGUAAGCAAAUGACAUCCGAAAUGGGGAGCAUCUUAUAUAAAGAUGAUGAUAUAGUCUGGUCUGUAUAGUGAUAUACAG